rnacentral:rRNA from 1 species
AUGGAGUUCACGGAGGCGUACAAGCAGACGGGCCCGUGCUGCUUCUCUCCCGACGCCCGCUUCCUCGCCGUCGCCUGCGACUACCGCCUCGUGGUCCGCGACGUCGUCACCCUCAAGGUGGUGCAGUUGUUUUCAUGUGUAGACAAGAUAAACUUUUUGGAGUGGGCACCAGAUUCAGAAUACAUUCUAUGUGGACUUUACAAGCGGCCAAUGGUGCAGGCUUGGUCGCUGAGCCAGCCUGACUGGACCUGUAAGAUUGAUGAAGGAUCUGCAGGGAUUGCUUAUGCUCGCUGGAGUCCUGACAGUCGUCAUAUACUCACUACAUCAGAGUUCCAACUCCGUUUGACUGUAUGGUCUCUUGUAAAUACUGCCUGCGUUCAUGUACAGUGGCCAAAGCAUGCAGCCCGAGGUGUUUCUUUCACUAAGGAUGGGAAGUUUGCUGCGAUCUGCACCAGGCGGGACUGCAAAGAUUGCAUAAAUUUGCUCUCAUGUCAUUCCUGGGAGAUAAUGGGUGUAUUCGCUGUUGACACACUAGACUUGGCAGGUGUUGAGUGGUCGCCUGAUGACAGUGCUAUUGUGGCCUGGGAUUCACUUCUUGAAUACAAGGUUCUAAUAUAUUCACCGGAUGGGCGAUGCCUGUUCAAGUAUUCAGCAUAUGAAAGUGGGCUAGGUGUCAAAACUGUUGGUUGGUCACCUUGUGGACAAUUUUUAGCAGUGGGCAGCUAUGAUCAAUCAGUGCGAAUAUUGAACCAUUUGACAUGGAAAACCUUUGCCGAGUUCACUCAUGCAGCCUCGAUUCGAAGUCCCUAUAAUGCUGCAGUAUUUAAGGAAGUGGAUGACCCAUUUCAGCUUGAUAUGUCAGAGUUAUGUCUAAGCGAAGGCUUGUCUCGUAACAUGCGAGACAAUGGCACUGAAAAUGGCUCAGAAGGAGGUUCUAGAGUAAAAUAUGCUGUGAUGGAUGUUCCAAUCACCGUGCCAGCACAGAAACCAGCUAGUGACAAGCCCAACCCCAAACAAGGAAUCGGUAUGCUGUCGUGGAGCAGCGACAGCCACUAUUUCUUCACCCGGAACGACAACAUGCCUACUGUUCUUUGGAUAUGGGACAUCUGCCGCCUCGAGCUUGCGGCCGUUCUUGUGCAGAAAGAUCCGAUCCGCGCUGCUGCCUGGGACCCUACAUGUCCACGCCUCGUAUUGUGCACGGAGAGCCCGCACCUGUACAUGUGGACACCAUCCGGCGCUUGCUGUGUCAACAUUCCCUUGCCAGAUUUCCGGAUAGUCGACUUGAAAUGGAACUCGGCAGGAAGCUGCCUCCUCCUGAAGGACCGCGAUUCCUUCUGCUGUGCCGCAAUCGUAUCCGCUCUGCCAGAGGAAGAACCCGAUGAGCAAACCGACGAGACCUCCGAAGACGAAUGA